rnacentral:rRNA from 1 species
CCUCCAGAGUCCGAGUGGCGAACGGGUGAGUAACACGUGAGCAACCUGCCCUUGACUUUGGGAUACCAGCUGGAAACAGCUGCUAAUACCGGAUAUGACCCUUUGACUCAUGUUUUUGGGUGGAAAGCUCCGGCGGUCAGGGAUGGGCUCGCGGCCUAUCAGCUUGUUGGUGAGGUAAUGGCUCACCAAGGCUUCGACGGGUAGCCGGCCUGAGAGGGCGACCGGCCACACUGGGACUGAGAUACGGCCCAGACUCCUACGGGAGGCAGCAGUGGGGAAUAUUGCACAAUGGGCGCAAGCCUGAUGCAGCAACGCCGCGUGCGGGAUGACGGCCUUCGGGUUGUAAACCGCUUUCAGUAGGGACGAAGCUAACGUGACGGUACCUACAGAAGAAGGACCGGCUAACUACGUGCCAGCAGCCGCGGUGAUACGUAGGGUCCGAGCGUUGUCCGGAAUUAUUGGGCGUAAAGGGCUUGUAGGCGGUCCGUCGCGUCAGGAGUGAAAACUCGGGGCUUAACCCCGAGCCUGCUUUUGAUACGGGCGGACUAGAGGGAUGCAGGGGAGAACGGAAUUCCUGGUGGAGCGGUGGAAUGCGCAGAUAUCAGAGGAACACCGGUGGCGAAGGCGGUUCUCUGGGCAUCACCUGACGCUGAGAAGCGAAAGCGUGGGGAGCAACAGGCUUAGAUACCUGGUAGUCACGCCGUAACGGUGGGCACUAGGUGUGGGGGACAUUCACGUUCUCCGUGCC